GAUGAACGCUGACAGGAUGCUUAACACAUGCAAGUCGACUCGAGUCUUCGGACUUGGGUGGCGCACGGGUGAGUAACGCGUAAAGAACUUGCCUCUUAGACCGGGACAACAUCUGGAAACGGAUGCUAAUACCGGAUAUUAUGGUUUUUUCGCAUGGAGGAAUCAUGAAAGCUAGAUGCGCUAAGAGAGAGCUUUGCGUCCCAUUAGCUAGUUGGUGAGGUAACGGCCCACCAAGGCAAUGAUGGGUAGCCGGCCUGAGAGGGUGAACGGCCACAAGGGGACUGAGACACGGCCCUUACUCCUACGGGAGGCAGCAGUGGGGAAUAUUGGACAAUGGACCACAAGUCUGAUCCAGCAAUUCUGUGUGCACGAUGACGUUUUUCGGAAUGUAAAGUGCUUUCAGUCGGGAAGAAGUCAGUGACGGUACCGACAGAAGAAGCGACGGCUAAAUACGUGCCAGCAGCCGCGGUAAUACGUAUGUCGCAAGCGUUAUCCGGAUUUAUUGGGCGUAAUGCGCGUCUAGGCGGCAAGGAAAGUCUGAUGUGAAAAUGCGGAGCUCAACUCCGUAUGGCGUUGGAAACUGCCUUACUAGAGUACUGGAGAGGUAGGCGGAACUACAAGUGUAGAGGUGAAAUUCGUAGAUAUUUGUAGGAAUGCCGAUGGGGAAGCCAGCCUACUGGACAGAUACUGACGCUAAAGCGCGAAAGCGUGGGUAGCAAACAGG
rnacentral:rRNA from 1 species